CGGGCAGUAGCGCAGCCUGGCUAGCGCACCUGCUUUGGGAGCAGGGGGUCGGGAGUUCGAAUCUCCCCUGCCCGACCA
rnacentral:tRNA from 1 species